rnacentral:rRNA from 1 species
GACGAACGCUGGCGGCGUGCUUAACACAUGCAAGUCGAACGGAAAGGCCCUGCUUUUGCGGGGUGCUCGAGUGGCGAACGGGUGAGUAACACGUGAGUAACCUGCCCUUGACUUUGGGAUAACUUCAGGAAACUGGGGCUAAUACCGGAUAGGAGCUCCUGCUGCAUGGUGGGGGUUGGAAAGUUUCGGCGGUUGGGGAUGGACUCGCGGCUUAUCAGCUUGUUGGUGGGGUAGUGGCUUACCAAGGCUUUGACGGGUAGCCGGCCUGAGAGGGUGACCGGCCACAUUGGGACUGAGAUACGGCCCAGACUCCUACGGGAGGCAGCAGUGGGGGAUAUUGCACAAUGGGCGGAAGCCUGAUGCAGCAACGCCGCGUGCGGGAUGACGGCCUUCGGGUUGUAAACCGCUUUCGCCUGUGACGAAGCGUGAGUGACGGUAAUGGGUAAAGAAGCACCGGCUAACUACGU